CCGUGGAAUACCGACCGAGUUAUAGGCAAAACUUGGUGCAAAAAUGAGCCUUUGUAAAUUUUCAUUUGUUUGAAUUUUUUGAUUUUUUUAUUAUUUUUCACUCUUUUUUUUAUUUAAAGCAUUACUUGAGUGAAAAGAAACACAUUGCAACCAAUUGGCAUUAAAAUAAAUCAAUUUCAUUUUUUUUGCAAAAUUUCUCAAAAAAAACGUAAGGGGUAAGCCUUAUGAAAUUUUCGAGUUGAAAAUUUUUAAAAUUUUUUUUUCUGAUUUUGUAUUAUGUUUUUAGUUUAAAGCAUUAUUUGAGUGAAAAGAAACACAUUGCAACAAGUUUGCAUGGAAAUAUAUCUAAUUUAUAAAUUUUGCUUAAUUGCUCAAAAAUGAGGAAAUUUUUACAUUUUCUCAAACAGGGUAAGGAACUUUGUUCCUCGAAUAACUUCUGGCACGGACACCUGAGAGCAUGGCUGUCCAAGAAGAAAAUGUAGCCAUUGAUGCCAUCUAUCGACCACAGGUUAAAGAUUGGCAAUCCGUUGGAUACCGACCGAGUUAUAGGCAAAACUUAGUGCAAAAAUGAGGAAAAUUUUACAUUUUCUCAAACAGGGUAAGGAACUUUGUUCCUCGAAUAACUUCUGGCACGGACACCUGAGAGCAUGGCUGUCCAAGAAGAAAAUGUAGCCAUUGAUGCCAUCUAUCGACCACAGGUUAAAGAUUGGCAAUCCGUUGGAUACCGACCGAGUUAUAGGCAAAACUUGGUGCAAAAAUGAGCCUUAGUAAAUUUUCAUUUUUUUGAAUUUUUUGAUUUUUUUAUUAUUUUUCACUCUUUUUUUUAUUUAAAGCAUUACUUUAGUGAAAAGAAACACAUUGCAACCAAUUGGCAUUAAAAUAAAUCAAUUUAAUUUUUUUUGCAAAAUUUCUCAAAAAAAACGUAAGGGGUAAGCCUUAUGAAAUUUUCGAGUUGAAAAUUUUUUAAAUUUUUUUUUCUGAUUUUGUAUUAUGUUUUUAGUUUAAAGCAUUAUUUGAGUGAAAAGAAACACAUUGCAACAAGUUUGCAUGGAAAUAUAUCUAAUUUAUAAAUUUUGCUUAAUUGCUCAAAAAUGAGGAAAUUUUUACAUUUUCUCAAACAGGGUAAGGAACUUUGUUCCUCGAAUAACUUCUGGCACAGACACCUGAGAGCAUGGCUGUCCAAGAAGAAAAUGUAGCCAUUGAUGCCAUCUAUCGACCACAGGUUAAAGAUUGGAAAUCCGUUGGAUACCGACCGAGUUAUAGGCAAAACUUGGUGCAAAAAUGAGGAAAAUUUUACAUUUUCUCAAACAGGGUAAGGAACUUUGUUCCUCGAAUAACUUCUGGCACGGACACCUGAGAGCAUGGCUGUCCAAGAAGAAAAUGUAGCCAUUGAUGCCAUCUAUCGACCACAGGUUGAAGAUUGGCAAUCCGUUGGAUACCGACCGAGUUAUAGGCAAAACUUGGUGCAAAAAUGAGGAAAAUUUUACAUUUUCUCAAACAGGGUAAGGAACUUUGUUCCUCGAAUAACUUCUGGCACGGACACCUGAGAGCAUGGCUGUCCAAGAAGAAAAUGUAGCCAUUGAUGCCAUCUAUCGACCACAGGUUAAAGAUUGGCAAUCCGUUGGAUACCGACCGAGUUAUAGGCAAAACUUGGUGCAAAAAUGAGGAAAAUUUUACAUUUUCUCAAACAGGGUAAGGAACUUUGUUCCUCGAAUAAUUUCUGGCACGGACACCUGAGAGCAUGGCUGUCCAACAAGAAAAUGUAGCCAUUGGUGCCAUCUAUCGACCACAGGUUAAAGAUUGGCAAUCCGUUGGAUACCGACCGAGUUAUAGGCAAAACUUGGUGCAAAAAUGAGCCUUAGUAAAUUUUCAUUUUUUUGAAUUUUUUGAUUUUUUUAUUAUUUUUCACUCUUUUUUUUAUUUAAAGCAUUACUUGAGUGAAAAGAAACACAUUGCAACCAAUUGGCAUUAAAAUAAAUCAAUUUAAUUUUUUUUGCAAAAUUUCUCAAAAAAAACGUAAGGGGUAAGCCUUAUGAAAUUUUCGAGUUGAAAAUUUUUUAAAUUUUUUUUUCUGAUUUUGUAUUAUGUUUUUAGUUUAAAGCAUUAUUUGAGUGAAAAGAAACACAUUGCAACAAGUUUGCAUGGAAAUAUAUCUCAUUUAUAAAUUUUGCUUAAUUGCUCAAAAAUGAGGAAAUUUUUACAUUUUCUCAAACAGGGUAAGGAACUUUGUUCCUCGAAUAACUUCUGGCAUAGACACCUGAGAGCAUGGCUGUCCAAGAAGAAAAUGUAGCCAUUGAUGCCAUCUAUCGACCACAGGUUAAAGAUUGGAAAUCCGUUGGAUACCGACCGAGUUAUAGGCAAAACUUGGUGCAAAAAUGAGGAAAAUUUUACAUUUUCUCAAACAGGGUAAGGAACUUUGUUCCUCGAAUAACUUCUGGCACGGACACCUGAGAGCAUGGCUGUCCAAGAAGAAAAUGUAGCCAUUGAUGCCAUCUAUCGACCACAGGUUGAAGAUUGGCAAUCCGUUGGAUACCGACCGAGUUAUAGGCAAAACUUGGUGCAAAAAUGAGGAAAAUUUUACAUUUUCUCAAACAGGGUAAGGAACUUUGUUCCUCGAAUAACUUCUGGCACGGACACCUGAGAGCAUGGCUGUCCAAGAAGAAAAUGUAGCCAUUGAUGCCAUCUAGCGACCACAGGUUGAAGAUUGGAAAUCCGUUGGAUACCGACCGAGUUAUAGGCAAAAAUUGGUGCAAAAAUGAGGAAAAUUUUACAUUUUCUCAAACAGGGUAAGGAACUUUGUUCCUCGAAUAACUUCUGGCACGGACACCUGAGAGCAUGGCUGUCCAAGAAGAAAAUGUAGCCAUUGAUGCCAUCUAUCGACCACAGGUUAAAGAUUGGCAAUCCGUUGGAUACCGACCGAGUUAUAGGCAAAACUUGGUGCAAAAAUGAGGAAAAUUUUACAUUUUCUCAAACAGGGUAAGGAACUUUGUUCCUCGAAUAAUUUCUGGCACGGACACCUGAGAGCAUGGCUGUCCAACAAGAAAAUGUAGCCAUUGGUGCCAUCUAUCGACCACAGGUUAAAGAUUGGCAAUCCGUUGGAUACCGACCGAGUUAUAGGCAAAACUUGGUGCAAAAAUUAGCCUUAGUAAAUUUUCAUUUUUUUGAAUUUUUUGAUUUUUUUAUUAUUUUUCACUCUUUUUUUUAUUUAAAGCAUUACUUGAGUGAAAAGAAACACAUUGCAACCAAUUGGCAUUAAAAUAAAUCAAUUUCAUUUUUUUUGCAAAAUUUCUGAAAAAAAACGUAAGGGGUAAGCCUUAUGAAAUUUUCGAGUUGAAAAUUUUUAAAAAUUUUUUUUCUGAUUUUGUAUUAUGUUUUUAGUUUAAAGCAUUAUUUUAGUGAAAAGAAACACAUUGCAACAAGUUUGCAUGGAAAUAUAUCUCAUUUAUAAAUUUUGCUUAAUUGCUCAAAAAUGAGGAAAUUUUUACAUUUUCUCAAACAGGGUAAGGAACUUUGUUCCUCGAAUAACUUCUGGCACAGACACCUGAGAGCAUGGCUGUCCAAGAAGAAAAUGUAGCCAUUGAUGCCAUCUAUCGACCACAGGUUAAAGAUUGGCAAUCCGUUGGAUACCGACCGAGUUAUAGGCAAAACUUGGUGCAAAAAUGAGGAAAAUUUUACAUUUUCUCAAACAGGGUAAGGAACUUUGUUCCUCGAAUAAUUUCUGGCACGGACACCUGAGAGCAUGGCUGUCCAAGAAGAAAAUGUAGCCAUUGAUGCCAUCUAUCGACCACAGGUUAAAGAUUGGCAAUCCGUUGGAUACCGACCGAGUUAUAGGCAAAACUUGGUGCAAAAAUGAGCCUUAGAAAAUUUUCAAAUUUUUUGAGUUUUUUUAUAUAUUUCUUAUUUUUCACUCUUUUUUUGUGAAUCGCGUUCGCAAACGCGACAAUUGCUAAGCGCUAUUACGAUAUGGUCAUUUUUUCGCAUUUAAAUAUACUUCCCUGUUUUAUUGCAGUCAUUCUGUGUUGAUGAAAACUAAUGCAAUUUCAAAUCGGAACUAAAAAUGGACGUCAUCGUAUCUUACCUUACUGAUUAGCCCGAAAAGGUUAUUACAUUGGAUCGCGUUUCCACGUGAUUAUCCUACCGAGAUUGAACGAAAGUAAACUUCACGGUGGUCCUUUCAAUGACAGAGUCGAAAGGCGAGCGUGGGGUACCGAAAAGAACGCAUAUCAUUGACAUCGCAUGUCGAUCGAUUUCAAGCUCAUUAGAAUUAGACGAAAGUUGCCAGUGUAAGAAAAGCAGCGCUUAUGUGGCACGUUUCCAUCAAUGUACGUGAUUAGUGUGUGCAUACAUUUGCUUCUUAUUAUCCCACCCAAAAGCGUCCACUGGACAGUGCGGCCGCGUGUAAGCAUGUUGUCUAUCGAUACGUCGCAAAGAAACAAGCGGCAGAUCGACAGCUUUCGAUUGAAUGCAAGUUUGAUCGGUUGAUAGAUUUGUGUGAAAACUCCGGUUCAGUUACUCUCGCGCGUCGCGAGUGGGAAGAAAUAGAGAAGGACUACUGGAACUACUUGCAAAAGGGCUGACGAUCGAUCGUUGAGAGAGUGCAUUAAUAUGCGCUUGAAAUGCAUACUUAUCCCCACGCAUGCACCAAAGACCCGUGGGCACUAGGCACACACAUGCACGCACACUGACAAGAGAUUUAUAGAUACCGGCCAAUUUGUCACCUGAGGUUUUUUAGUCUUGCGUAUUGCAAAGCGUCUCUUCUACUCCCCACCCAUCCAUCCAGUCCGGAUUUGUCUGAUGCAUUUCGGAUCGGUUGAGUUUGAUUUAUGUAAUUAGUGGAGCUUACUUUAAUGGACUAUCAAGCUGUAA